GGGGUUGUGGCUCAGUGGUAGAGCACUCGCCUAGCAUGUGUGAAGCACCAAGUUCGAUCCUCAGCCCCU
rnacentral:tRNA from 1 species